GCCUGAUCAUGUGAUUGUGACAUCAUCACAGGUCCUUUACCCCCCCUGAGCUCUGCCAUCUCCAGUAUUCAGGCCACGAGGUCCAAGCGGGCAGAGAGGUCCAGAGAUUUCUUCGGAAUACCCACUAAGUAUAAGCGCUGCCGACGGUAUUUUUUGACCGCUGACGAAGUUCUGUUUCCUCCACUAAUCAACUAUUGGAUCCGUCAUAGGACAUUUUCUAAUCAGAGCCAUGCCUAGCUGUCUGGUAAACCAGUGUAUUAGCAAAACUGGAAGAAAGGGCCAGAACGGACAGGUAAUUUUGCACGCCUUUCCAAAGGACCUCGACAGAAUAAAAAUAUGGCUGCUACAGACCGGUCAAGUCUUCAAGGAUCUAAAUGGUUUGGCUGAAAAGAUACUCAAUAGAAACAGAAGCAACCAAUACCGCCUGUGUUCGUGCCACUUCGCGCCAGAUUCGUACAUCGUCAACUUCUGCGGAAGAACGCUGCGAGUCGAUGCCGUGCCUUCUAUUUUUCCAAUUGUCAGCGAAGGAGAAACGAUUAUUGAAGAAAAUUUGAAAAAAGAUCGGGCAAGAAAACGGAAGAUACUUUUUGACCCUGUGGUCACUCCAAUCGGUCCAAUCAUUGUUAAUCAAAUUACUAAACCUGAACCAGAAGAAGAAGAAGAAGAAGAAGAAGAGGAAGAUGAAGAAACGUGUGACAUAGAACUGCCAAAAAAUGGAUUUUGCAGUGUCGGAACGCAGACGGAUCACACACUUUCUAAUUCAAUUGUUGUCUUUGAGGAUCUGAUGAUGUAGAUGGACCCUUCACCUCAUGAAGGUCUUCUCCUGUAGAGGCAACGUUUACUUGUAGUCCAUCGACAAGCAAAGACUUUGCAUCUCCUCUGAACGUCUGAACAAAGACCUCGCCGUAUUUUCUCACACAUCUUUUUAUUUUUAUUUUAUUUUUUAUUAACAGGGUAACACCACUACUGCCGACCCUGUGCUGGUCCGAAUUAAAAGUACCUUAGAGGAAGACGUAAACCACUCAGACUCUCUUCCACAACAUUUUCGGGUUCAGUUCUGUUUUCUGCGCCUCCACCUGUAACUUUUCUUCCCAAAAAAUGGGGAAAACUUGUAAUUUUUUUAUCUUGUUUGGACAAUCUAUUAAACCUAAAAUGUCGACAUAACAAGGA